UCAAAUCUCUGUCUCUCAUCUCUGUAAAUCCCUAAACCACACCACCACCACCACCCAUUUUUUACUUUCUAAGCUUUUCAUCCACAACUCAAACCCUAGCCGCCAGAUCUGUAACAUUUAUGGGGUCGGAUUUGUAAAAUUGAUCAUGUAAUUGUAAGCUCUUUAGAGACCUUUUUAUUUCAAGAUCUUGACACCAAAGUGUUCAACUUCUUCUCCCUUUCUAUCAAACAUUCAACCGUCACUUUGUUGCUAGAUCUUGAUUACCAUAGUCUAUUUUUAUAAAAAUCAUAACCAUAUAAAUACUCUACUCUUCCUCUACAAAACCGUCUAUGAAAAUUGUUAUUUUUAUAGUCCACUGUCCACCUUUGAACAUGACACAACAACCACUAAACUCCUCUCUUGUUCCUUUACAAAAUCCAACCAAAAAAAUUAGAAUCGGUCCACCUUUUUCCGGCAACCACCACUGUGCCUGAAAUCGCACCGUCGCCCUGCAGAGUUUGUAUUCCAGUUAUUUCAUCUCUUUCUUUUAGUCAUGAUUUCUUCUCACCACUUCUAUCAUACAUGUAAAACACAGGUAGAGAUUUUAAAAAUAUAUUUGUAGAUCUUGAAAAUAUAUGUAACUUUAGCAAAUGAUGUUUUUUUUUGGUACAAUAACAAAUGAUGUUUUAAAUUUGGGUCUUAAAAAUUGUUAUUUAUGAUGAUAUACUUUUUUUUAUAAAAAAGAUCAUGAUUUUAUUUUCUUUUUGGUUAAUAAGAAGAUAAAAGUGUUGGCGUUGUAUGGUUGGCCUCAUUUUGCUAAAACAUGUGAUCUUUUCUGAUGUGGAACUACAUGCUUCCACCAUCCAGUAUAAGCAAGAUGUUCGGNNNNNNNNNNNNNNNNNNNNNNNNNNNNNNNNNNNNNNNNNNNNNNNNNNNNNNNNNNNNNUGUGUAUGGUGAGAUCUCGCGCCUAAGUUCUAAAUAUGGAAUCCACAAUAAAUGUUCGUUUGUGAUAAGGAGCGUUGUCACGCAUAAUUAUUAAUGGAUCUUGUGAUCAAGUGUUGCUUGCUAAUCAGAUCUUCAAGUUAAGGAAACAAAACAUUUUAAUUGAAGAUUAUUCCUUGAAGGAACCAUUAAUCAUGCUGUGCUAUUGAAGCCUAAUUGAAGACCUAGCCUGAGCUCGUGGAGGUUAUUUAAAGAAGGUUGACUCCAUUGUUCAAUCCACUGAAACCAGAUUUGAGUCUUACAAAGCGUGAGUUUAGGUUUUAGUAUUGUGUCUAUUGUGUUCCAAGUCUUGUGUUGAUUUUCCACUAGACUAGGAACUGUGUGUUUGUGCAUUGUAAUAUCUCUGGAGCUUCUAAGCAAGGAGAUAGUGUGUGUAUAUCCUUCCAAAGCUUUUAAGCACGGAAGUGGUGUGAGUGUUUUAUGAAGUGUGUCUUCACAUAUUAAAUCUAGUAUUGUACGAUCACAGUGCCUGUGGUCAAGAGGAGGUGAGCGGAGGUUCUCAUACCUAGNNNNNNNNNNNNNNNNNNNNNNNNNNNNNNNGAAGUCAUAAACGGGAGGUUUAUUGAGGGCUUCAAACUAAUACUAUCAUAGUGGAUUCACUCCUGGAUUGGUAUCCCCCAGAGUAGGCUUAUGCUGAACUGGGUUAACAAAUUACUGUGUUAAUUUUCUUUUAGUUUGUUUAGUUUAUUAUUCCUUGUGUAUGCGCGGUUGGAUGUUGGAUCAUUGAUUCACGCAUUAAAAGUGUACUAUAGUGGUGAAGCGUUGAGUACAACAUCUUAAUACUAGUGUGCCAGAAUUUCAAAAAGUAUUUUUUUUUUGGUAUAGAUAAAAGUAAUUUUUAUGUCUACUAUAAAAAUAAAAACAAAUUUUUUGCAAAAAAAAAGCCAUAAAUUUCUCAACUAUUUCCAACAUCCAUUUAAUUCUCAACUACUCAUUUCUUAUUCUUGUCUCUUCUCUCUUAGCUAACGGUUGCAAUUCUCUCUCUCUCUCUCUUUAUUUUUGUUUGGACUAAUCUCUCAAUUUUUUAAUUUUUUUGACUAAUCUCUAUUUUUUAUUAAAAAGUUUUUUAUUGUUUCUGUAUAUAUAAAUAAUAGAAAGCCUUACCAAAAAAAUGAAAAUGAAAAAAAAAAAUCAAACUUUUUAUUGUUUCUGUGCAUGGAAAUAAAAAGCAAAAAAACAAAAUCAAUUUUUUUGGCUCUUUUAUUCUAUUUGAUUCUAGAUCUGUUAAUUUUAUUUGUUUAUUUAUUAAAAUCGUUAUUGUCUUUUUGUUCUUCUGCAACAAAUUUUUUUCAAAAAAGUAGUUGUUUUUAUUCUUCAGAACAGCAAAUAUAAUAUAAAGCUAAAAAAUAAUAUUGAGCAUCAAUAAGUGUUAAGUAGUUGUUUUUACCUCUGUUUCUUGUUUUCUUCUCAUUUUUGUUUGUAUCAUGUAUCCUGAAAGGAAAAAACAUAUUAUUGCAUUAAUUAGUGAAAAAUAAAAUGAUAACAAUGCUUUUGAUAAGUAUGCGGUGUUGCUGUUUUUUGUUUAAUGAAAAAGAAAUUAGUGAAGAUUGAUAUUCAUUUGCUUGACUUUUUAUUUAUUUUUGGAGAAGUGCAUCUUCUAAGCUCUUAUUUAUUUUCUGCAACAAAUUUUUUUUNNNNNNNNNNNNNGACAUACCUUUGUGAAGAUUUCAUUUUCUUUUAUUCUUCUUUCUCUGCAAAAUAAGAAGAACAAACAUUAGUAGUAAGGAAAAAAUAUGCAGAAGAAAAGAGAAAAUGAAAGAGAAGAUAGAACAGGAAUAUGAGUAGAUUAAGAGAGAGAAAACACAAAUUGAUUAUAAAGGGAGAAAAAGAGGGAGAAUAUGAAAUUUGAAAUUGGAAUAUUUUAAUAUUGGACAGUGUGUAAAUAGCUUAUGAAAUACCAAAUAUAACCUUGCUUUUUGAAAUUUAUCAUGCAACUUUUGAGUGGUAGAGAACUCCAAUUUUGUGGGGUUAUAAGGCAAAAAAACGGAAAAGGGCAAUUUGGGGAGAGUUGCAAAAAAGCUUUGAGGAGCAUUGUGGAGUUUAUGUGCCAAAUAUGACAAAAAUAUCCCCAUAAAAAAAAUCGUAAAGCAACAACAAAAACACAAAAAGUAAGGUUUAGAGGGACAAUACAGUAUUUUUGGUAGUAUAUUACUGUCUUGGAUUAGUAGCAGAUACACACAUUAAUGAUAUAACAACUUAUUUUAAUAAUUAUGGAAAGUGCUAAAGGUGGUUAUAGGUACCAAUCGUUAAUUUGUUCAGCGGUGAUUGACGCUGAACUUGGUAGGGAGGAUUGCGGUUCGAUCCCCCGCAACUGCGGUUGAUAUCAGAACUGACCCCCGAACCAGAUUCAACUGGUGGUGAAAAAAAAAAGGUGGUUAUAGGAAAAGGAGGGAGUAUCCUCAUCAGAGAGUACAAUUGGUAUACAACUCGUGACAUUAUAGUUGGUUGUGCCUCAUUAACUCGUGACUUUAUAUUUUGCACCGAUGCAUGAUCUUGUUUAUAUAUCCAAUGAUAGCCGCAAGCAACUCUGCACCUCCAGAUCCAAACCUGUGCCGUUCUUAGUGUGAAAUUUCAUAUUGAAAUGAUCAAGAUGACUGAGAUUUUUUUGGCUAUACGCUUCAGAAAAUCAAAGAAUAAUUCUAGAGGGAAAUAGAUGAGCCACAUAUGAUAGGAUUUGACUGCAAUAAGAUCUCUUUCAAGAGGCCAAGUCUACCAUGCACAAGCUCUUUAUGUUGUGCAUGGUGCACAGGUUGUCAUUUAUAUUAUAAUGAAUACGAAUUUUUUAAAAUCUAUCGUUGGAUUGAAAGUUUAUAUCAUAUAGAUCAUCCAUAAAAAUUUUAAAAUUUUUUGAAAAUCAUUUGAUAUGUUAUUGAGAGUCAUCAAGAGUAACGGUUUAUGAGUUUUUAUUGAAUACCGUUAAUUUUGAUGAAUCUCAAUAACAUAUCAAAUGAUUUUCAAAAAAUUUUAAAUUUUUUAUGGCUGAUUUAUAUGAUAUAAACUUUCAAUCCAACUGUGAAUUUUGUAAAAUUCGUAUUCGUUAUAAUAUAAAUGACUAUUGUCCACCAUGCACAACAUAGGAAGCUUGUGCAUGUUAGACAAAGCCCUUUCAAGAACUACUGGAAUGUUGUCACAUCAGCCUGGCAGCCUUCAUACCAGUGGCCGCGAAUAGGCAGAGACAGAGUACUACUCUUAGAAAUAGAAAACAUUAUUUGGGGUCUAUUUACAUAUAAUAUUGCCGUAGUUGGAUCAAUAGGUGCAACAGAAAAUACUGCACAACAAUAAAUGCCAAUGAAAUGGUUGACAUUGUCUUGCAUGAUGGGAGAUGGGGCUAUUCUGAUUGUUGAACCAAAUUGGUAUUUCACUUCCAGGAAUAACAAUAUCAAUGAUCAAGAUAGUGGAGAAUUGUGGGUUUGCCUGAAUGAAUUGAAUCAUCCUUUAGUAUGAAAAUGGUGCUCCAUAGCAGAAGAAAAAGGAAUCUGAGGCAAGGAUCCCACAGCUUGCAAUGCUCCAAAUUUAAAUCUGUAAGUUUGGAAAGAAGGUCCCUCAGGCUAGGUAAUGUCACAAAAUUGUUUCCCCCCUAAAUUUCGAUUUUCUAGCUGAUCUAAACAUCCAAUUGCAUCGGUGGGUUGACUUUUUAAUUUCCCUUAUUAGGUUUUAAUAAUAAUAAUAGACCUUGUCCCUUGGCCUUAUUUUAAAAAAGGCAAGGCAAGAGAGAUGUCUACACAAUCAACAAAGAAACAAAAAUUAUACGGUGUGAUAAUAGAGAGAAAGAAUACGUGGGAGGAGAAGAGGAAGGGAAAGAAGAGAAGUCUCAUACCUUAAGUUUAGGAAAAUCACUACAAAUCCAAGUAAGGGCGUUUAACGAUUUUACUUUAAGCUGAAUUUUCUGUAGUGAUUAUAAGUAUAGUUUUCUUUUUUUUUUCAUAUGCUUGAGUUAUCUACAAUUCUUGUUUUGAUCGUUGCUUUUCAAUAUGAAAUUUCAUAAUUGUUAUGCUGCAAGGUCCAUAUAGAAAUAUUCUAUGGUUUUUCUGAAGUUUCAAUGAUGGUCUUGUUCUGAGAAUAAUAAUUUUGAUGUUGGGUUCAUGAUGAUAUACUCAUAGCUAUAUGUAUCAGCUUUGACUAAAUUGUGUUUAAUCCCAUGUUUGCUUUUGAUUUGGACUUAUAUUCGGAGAUACGAUAACUCAUGAAUAUGUUGAAAUUCAAAUGUGAAGUUUAUGGCAUUCUGUACAUAUGUAUUCAGUUUUGAGAAAAGAGUUUCAUGAGUUUCCUGCUUCAUGUGAUACAUGGUUUUGAUUUUAAAUUCAAAGUAUAUAUAACACUUUACCAAUUUGUUGUUUGAAUUCAUUUGAUUUUUUUUAUGUCGAGAUAGAGAGGUGGAUUUCAUAAUUAAUUUAAUUUUGCCCAUUGAUGAAAAUUGAUUAGCCAUAUGAAUUGUCAUGAAUCUAUUCUCUUAAUUUAAAGUGUUGCUUUGGUUCUUUUUUUUUAGAGAGAAAUAUAUUAUUUUUGAAAAUUAAUAAUUCAAAGGAGUUUUAAUUAAAUAAAAAAAAAAGAAGAAGAAAAAGAGUUACAGUAAGACAAUUGUUUGACCAUUAUAUGUGUGCUUAAAUAUGCUAUGAAUUGGUCAAUAAAUGCAUGAUUUACGUUGCUAAUUUGUACUACUCACUUGGGAAUAUAAGUUAAGGCAUUUAGUAGUCUAGUUCCGGUACCGAUUUCUGAUUAUGUUGAUAAAUUGUUGUUGAGUAAUUGUUCUUGUGCUAAUAUGUGGUUGUAAGAUGUUGAAAAUCAUAAUUGAAAUUAUCAUUAAAUAAGCCGUUUGUCGUGUUGCUAUGGUGGCCGUUGAGCUGCCGUUUGUCGUGUUGUUAUGGUGGCCGUUGAGUUGCCGUUUGUCGUGUUGUUAUGGUGACUGUUGUGUUGCUGUUUGUCGUGUUGCUAUGGUGGCCAUUGUGCUGCCAUUUGUCGUGUUGUCAUGGUAUUCGUUGUGCCGCCAUUCAUCGUGUUUCCGUCAUUAUAUUUAUGAGUUGCUUUAUUUUUGUUAAUUAAUAAGUUGACAACGUUGUGUUUGAUUGUUCAAAGAUGAUGACAUUUUAUUUUCGUUGACUUCUAUGUUUUACUAUAACUGGUGUUGCUAUUAUUUUCGGUNNNNNNNNNNNNNNNNNNNNNNNNNNNNNNNNNNNNNNNNNNNNNNNNGCAAUCGUAGAUUUUUCAGGUAACAGAUGAGUCUUAGCUGCCGCGUGUCGAGGAUGACUUUAGGGCGCUAUCUUCUUUUCCUGCUUUCAAUAAAUUGAGUCGCUCUGAUAGGAAGUCAAUUGGGAGGGGAACUCUUAUUUACAUUUUCAGUUAUUUUUACAUUCAAAACUAUUGGAAUUUCAGUUGUUUUCCACCUAAGACUAUUGAACCAUGUUAUUCGUUUUAGUGAUUUUUAAUCCAAGCUUCAGGAUUUA
rnacentral:lncRNA from 1 species